rnacentral:rRNA from 1 species
AGCCUGAACGCUGGCGGCGUGGCUAAGACAUGCAAGUCGCACGGAUGUAGCAAUACAUCAGUGGCGAACGGGUGAGUAAUGAAUCGCUAAUGUGCCCCGGACUCUGAGAUAGCCAGUCGAAAGAUUGGGUAAUAUCAGAUGAUAUAACCGAACCGCAUGGUUUGGUUCUCAAAGGUCCGCCGGUCUGGGAGCAGGCGAUUUCGUAUCAGCUAGUUGGUGAGGUAACGGCUCACCAAGGCGACGACGCGUAACCGGACUGAGAGGUUGGCCGGUCACAUUGGGACUGAGACACUGCCCAGACCUCCGUGGCGGGGGGCUGGCGAGUAACGAAUCUUCCGCAAUGCAACGAAAGUCGUGGACGGACGCGACGCCGCGUGGUACGGACGGAACGCCCGUUCGGGUACGUAAACGUACGUCGGUACG